UUAGUUGGUGGAGUGAUUUGUCUGGUUAAUUCCGAUAACGAACGAGACCCCCGCCUAUUAACUAGUUUUACUAUUGCUUGCAAUGGUUGAACUUCUUAGAGGGACUUUUGGUGUUUUAGCCAAAGGAAGUUGGGGGCAAUAACAGGU
rnacentral:rRNA from 1 species